UGGGGAAUAUUGCACAAUGGGCGAAAGCCUGAUGCAGCAACGCCGCGUGAGCGAUGAAGGCCUUUGGGUCGUAAAGCUCUGUCCUUGGGGAAGAAAAAAAUGACGGUACCCUUGGAGGAAGCCCCGGCUAACUACGUGCCAGCAGCCGCGGUAAUACGUAGGGGGCAAGCGUUAUCCGGAAUUAUUGGGCGUAAAGAGUGCGUAGGUGGUUUUGUAAGCGCGGGGUGAAAGGCAAUAGCUCAACUAUUGUAAGCCCUGCGAACUGUAAGACUUGAGUGCAGGAGAGGAAAGCGGAAUUCCUAGUGUAGCGGUGAAAUGCGUAGAUAUUAGGAGGAACACCAGUGGCGAAGGCGGCUUUCUGGACUGUAACUGACACUGAGGCACGAAAGCGUGGGGAGCAAACA
rnacentral:rRNA from 1 species